GUGGGGAAUAUUGGACAAUGGGCGCAAGCCUGAUCCAGCCAUGCCGCGUGUGUGAAGAAGGCCUUCGGGUUGUAAAGCACUUUUGUCCGGGAAGAAAUCUUCCAGGUUAAUACCCUGGGAGGCUGACGGUACCGGAAGAAUAAGCACCGGCUAACUUCGUGCCAGCAGCCGCGGUAAUACGAAGGGUGCAAGCGUUACUCGGAAUUACUGGGCGUAAAGCGUGCGUAGGUGGUUCGUUAAGUCUGCCGUGAAAGCCCCGGGCUCAACCUGGGAAUGGCGGUGGAUACUGGCGGGCUAGAGUGCGGUAGAGGGUGGUGGAAUUCCCGGUGUAGCAGUGAAAUGCGUAGAGAUCGGGAGGAACAUCUGUGGCGAAGGCGGCCACCUGGACCAGCACUGACACUGAGGCACGAAAGCGUGGGGAGCAAACAGGAUUAGAAACCCUAGUAGUCC
rnacentral:rRNA from 1 species